rnacentral:rRNA from 1 species
UACGUAGGGGGCAAGCGUUGUCCGGAAUCAUUGGGCGUAAAGAGCGUGUAGGCGGUCCGGUAAGUCGGCUGUGAAAGUCCAGGGCUCAACCCUGGGAUGCCGGUCGAUACUGCCGGACUAGAGUUCGGAAGAGGCGAGUGGAAUUCCCGGUGUAGCGGUGGAAUGCGCAGAUAUCAGGAGGAACACCAAUGGCGAAGGCAGCUCGCUGGGACGGUACUGACGCUGAGGUGACGAAAGCGUGGGGAGCGAACAGG